rnacentral:rRNA from 1 species
UACGGGGGGAGCAAGCGUUGUUCGGAUUUACUGGGCGUAAAGGGCGCGUAGGCGGCCACCGCAAGUCAAUUGUGAAAUCUCCGGGCUUAACCCGGAAAGGUCAACUGAUACUGCGGGGCUAGAGUGCGGAAGGGGCAACUGGAAUUCUCGGUGUAGCGGUGAAAUGCGUAGAUAUCGAGAGGAACACCUGCGGCGAAGGCGGGUUGCUGGGCCGACACUGACGCUGAUGCGCGAAGCCAGGGGAGCGAACGGG